GAUCUCCUCAACCAAGAUGAAGUCAUUUUCGCCUGACCACUGGUAGCCCUAACCCCACACUAAAUGCAAUGAUUAUUAUGCAGUGGAAAAUGUAAACUUCACCUCGCCUCGGAAGAUAAAUCGUUGUUUUUUGCUGGAAAACUGAGCAGCAACGUUUCAUCGGAGUUCAUCAGUCAACGGGCUCAGCAAAUCUUCAACUUGAGGUAUUUCAGCAAUCAAACGAAUUCAAAAAUAUGCGAAGCUCAUGGCACAGUCGCAAGGACUCUAAUUAGACAAGUUUUAAUUAGUAUCUGGUUAACCUUUCGCUUUUUUUCGACAUGAGCUAACUAGAAGACCAGAUGAUGACAAAACAGAUGGUGGGAUCGGAAAAAUAAGUGAAAGUGAACGGUGGUGGAAUCAUCUGGCAUCAGUUAUAAUUCUGCAACAACAGCAAAAACACCUUGUCUGGAU